UUAGUUAGGAGGACUAAGAAACACAAGGAGCUAAGCAUUCAGAACUAGAGCAGGAUGGAAUGUAAACAUCAAAAUCCACCUAUGUGAAACUUCACGACGCGGGGAUUCUCGCCUCAAAGGUCGGGCCUCUUUUGUCAAAGAUGGACCACG